rnacentral:lncRNA from 1 species
UUCACAAACCCUUUCUCCCCUUUUCUUUCAUACGCCAUUUUCAAUAACAAGUUGGUCACCUGUUCUUCCCAGCAGUUCAGGUAAAGCUUCUACUUGCAAUUCACGAUUGAAGCCUAAAUUGAUGUUUCUCAUGUCCACUUAAACCAGUGUUCCUCUUCAUCGGGUGAAAAGCAUAAAGCUUCAGUCGCUGUCAUAGUCGCUGUCCGUUCAAGUUUCCGACUCAGCGAUUCCGUUCAAGUUUCCGACUCAGCGAUUCCGACUCAGCGAAAACAUGUCCGGAAAGGUGGUCUUUGUCACCGGCGCUUCAUCUGGACUCCGUUUAACUUUCCGAUACAGCGAAUGCUUAUUUCCAUUUGAGGGGAAUAUUCCACUGACUUACGUAUUUGUUUGAAGUGGACCCCUACCGGUAAGCGUCUUAUAACUGGUUCACACAGUGGAUAAUUCACAUAAUGGAACGGACAAUCUUUCAAUUUUGAAAUGUUUCGGCAGAUGCUCAUGAUAAGCCAAUCAGAUCUAUGGUAUGGAGUUACAGUGACAAUUGGAUGGUCGCCGGUGAUGAUGGAGGCUGUAUAAAAAAAUGAAACCGGUCAAGCAGGUUGAAACGUCCAAAGUAAUAUUUGAACAUUUCCAAACUUUGAAGAUGAUUUAUUCAACUAACUUAGAUGGCAUAUAUCAACGCUCUUCUCUGCUUUCUGGUAACGUGAUCUGUUUUUCGUAAUUUCAUUCAAUACUUAGUUUUGAAGUGGAUGUGCUUUUGUAUGUUAUGAUUUUGAUGUUGACAGAGUUGUUUGAGAAAGAGCAGGAAGAUCUACCAAGUGAGUUAAAGGACAUACCUAAAAAGGCUUGUGAUCGAAGAUCCAAAUGAAAUACAUACA